ensembl:lncRNA
UGGGAGGCCAGUGAAGCACAGCUAUUGUAUUUGUUCGAGGGAAAGUUUAAAUCAGAAUUGUCCAUGGCCCAGCUGUACCAUGUCAAGAAAGAAGCUGAAAGAAGAAUGCCAGCGAAUGAUUUCCGGCACGGGAGACAUGUCUCCAUGUUGUUUGAUAGGGCUGGGCUGGUGCUGCAGCUGGAUCUGUAGUACUGUCAUGCACUGUCUAUCCUGAGUCAUCAGGUCCAGUGGCAUUGAGAGCUGUCUGGCUGUGGCAGGGCUGAGAGCCAGAGCAGGAGCUGCUGGCUGCUGCCACUGCCAGGCUCCCAAGGUUGUUCCUGCAGGGCCUGGACAUCCCCAUGUGUCCCACAGGUUUGGAGCUCCAGACCUGUUCCCUUUCCCAGUGGCAAGUAAUGCUGUGAUGUUACAGGCGAAGUGCUUCACACUGCCUCUUACAGUCCUUCACUGAGAUUAUCUUUUACAGGAGCUUCAGUGCUGGGCUCUUUCAGUCAAGUGAUUAAAAUAAUUUGCUCAUUUGCUAAAUUUGGCAGUGCAAAGAGUCAGGCUUCAUGCAAGCACUGCUCAGCAACCACUAAACGUCAGUGUGUUAUCAACGUUGUUCUCACCCAAAUCCAAAACACAACACCACGCCAGCCACUACAAAGGGAGUGUAUCUAUCCCAGCCCAAAGCAGGACACUUGUUCAGACACCUGUUCCAGCUGGCAGCAGGGACACUCAGCAAAGCCUCUGCCACGCAGAAGCCGCUCUGGGUCUGUUCACUCUGAUUUUCAAAGUUCUGCCCUUCAGAGGAUUGUCUGGUGAGCAGGUGGACCAGCAAUGAUAUAUCCUGUGAAAAGAGCCCUACAAAGGGGGCAGGGAACUGUGGGUCUUUCAUCCUCUUCUCUGCCUCACAGACCAGGAGGGCACCUGCCGUAGUCGGGUCAAACACAGCAGAUCGUGUUUGGGGGGUUGUUCUGUUAGGGCAAAUGGCUGAUACAAGACAGUGUGCCAAGGGGUGGGUCUGAAGGACAGUUCUCAGCACCAAGCUAGUAUGACAGUGGAUUGUAUAAGCAAAAAGAGCACUGGGGACGGCCAAAAGAGUGUCACGGGAGGGCACGGACAUGUGGCUGGAGACACUGAGCUGGCUUGGGUUGGCAGCACAGACACUGGCUUGUCUUGGUGCAAAAGGUGUUUCGGUCACAGACAUUGCUGGGUCGUGCUUGGGAUUUGCAAGAGGCAGGACACUUGGCUUGUCCUUUCUAAGUAGAGAGUAUUGCUAUAUAUAUAUAUAUAUAUUAAAAAAUAUAAGAAUAUAAUAUAAGUAGUGCCCAUUAUAUAUUGUGGCUAAAGGUUGAAAAGGAUCCUGCAGCCUUCAGAGAGGCGCCGUGGUGCUGUGUGCCCCCGCUGUGUGCAGGGCUGUCCCAGUGCCGUGGGUGCAGGUGGAGGAGCAGGGUAACAGCACUGAAACACGUGGGAGCUGUGAGGCUCUGCUUGCCAGGGGCCAGUACACAGUGGUGGGGAUGGCCAUCAGAGCUGUCAUAACCAUCUCUGUGUGGCGUGGAUCUGGGUCUGGAGACUGGGUGAUGGCCCUUCACUAACACAAGCGUGGUUUUGUUGGGGCAACAAUGUCCUUGGUGUUCCUCCUUUCCAUCACAGAGCUAUUUUCUCAGUGUAAAUCUCUGUAAUAAGAUGGCUCCACAUCUGCUUACAGCCUGAGCAGCUCCAGCAGUAGCUCGAUGGCUCCUCAGCACACUUCUUUCUUCCCUGUAAAGUUUACUGCCCCAUGGCAUGAUCCCACCACUAUCCCACGUGCACAGACACGGAUGUCCACCCGAGGCCUUGCUCCACGCAUCCACAAACUGCAGUCAAAUGAAUCUUGCAAACACAAUAAAAGUCCCUUUGUGGAUCUGAUGAGUUUGGUUUCCAACGAUCGUCUUCUGGCUUAACUGCAAUGUGCCCAUGCUCGAUCUGCUGCAUUCGCAAAGCAAGUGGAGACCACCUGGGCACCUGCAAGCACCUGUGAUCACCUGUCUGUUUCCCAGCAGCUGCACACAAGGGGAGAGCUUGGGUUCCUGCUUAGGUCCUUCCCUCCUCCUCUGUGUGCUGUGCCACCGACAGCAGGGUGGGAGCCCAGGGGCUCCCUUCUUGCUGGCUUCAGGAUCCUCUGCAGAACCCCAAAUGGCUUUUUGCACUCCCUCAGCCUCUUGCUGACCACUGAAGGGCUGGGACUGUGCUAGUAGGAAAGCAGAGCCAGCUGACAUUCAGAUAAGUUGGCAGCGUCUCCGUGAGCUUUGGGUCUUGCAUCUUGGUGAGGCCAAAGAAUAGCCCUGGUUGCAGGCUGCAGUGAUCCAUGGUCCCAGGCACAGCCAGGACACUACAAAAUGGCAGUGAUUUGCACACUACGGCUCUCCCGUCCCCUCAUUUGUAACUUCCCUCCUCUAGCAAACCUGGUCUGCAGUCACUCUUUUUCCCCUGCAGAUCAGUCCCUCCCUGCCUGGGGCUUUGUAGCCCUCCUGGAUGUCUGCACAACUCAAGGAAUACCUGGCCCCUUUGCAGGCUGCCGCUCUGGGAUAUGAGGAGCAUUUUCCCUUCUAUUUCUGGAGCUGCAAAUGUCUGCAAAGCAGGUUUAAGGCAGGCAUUGAUGCUCUCUGUGCUAAAAGGAGGAAGAGAGCUACCACAGCAGAUCCAUAAGUGGGUUGCUGACAGGGACCGAGGUGUGAGCACAUCCUCCCCUUAGCUCCUGAACCAAAGCGAGCUGCAGGGCUGAGAUCCCGGCUUGCCUCACCUCUGCUCCAGCUGCAAGGAGGAGGCAGGAGCUGGUGGCACCUGGGGACGUGGCUGCCAAAGCAGAGACUCCCAGACCGGCAUCUGCAGGUGGUGUGAAGAGCUCUGCAGGACAUGGGGUUAGGCAAGGAGUCCGCAUUUUAAACCAGCCCAUGCGUGAGAACAGGGACACCGCUGUCCUGUGCAACCUGGGCUGCUGCUUCUCCGGACAGGAAUUGGAGCUGAAAACGCAGAUAAUUUUGUAAAUCUCCUUUUAACACAUUAGCAUGGGACUCUACACUCAGACAUCACAGCUGGCGCACCGACGUGGUUUUCCUUCGCCUCCGACACAGUCCGCCAAAGUCUUCUGGCCCGGAGACAGGACUCCUGCUCCUUGGUACUGUCUGGGAACGCGACUGGGUCCUAAGGCUGAAUCUCUCUACAUUAUCUCCUUUGCAUUCUUUAGGAAAGCAGCUCGAGAAUGUUUACACACUGCAAACAGAAUGUACAACUCCGACCAGGAACCACAAUCCGGUUCAACUGCAUGGCAAAUUUCUUGGCCAUCGAAUCUGGCAUGCAUCACAGAGGCCCCGUCUGUGUACAGAUCCACCUGGCAUUGCUCAUACCUUCAGAUCACGUCUUAAAAAGAAUAUACGAUGAUGCCAUUUCUUGUUCAUACCAGACACAGUUGUCAUUAGAUUUGUUAUUAACAGGGGGAUUCUUGAUCAUGCCAUUAAAAGCCUGUCUACC